UGUAAAAAAACCUUGGCUUCUUCCCUUCUUCCUUCUCACAAGAUUGCCUCAUUGCCACCGCCAGAUCUCGUCACAUAUUUUUCUUCACACCCUACUAUGUGAUUCGGAAGCAACCCGCCACCGCCGGCCCUCAUCUCAUUUCCUUUUUGUUAUUGAGAGUGUUUGUGUUGCUAGGCUUACAAAACGGUUGUUCCUUUGGCUGGUUCGCCUGGGAAAAGCACUGAAGAUCAGCACCAUCUGGAUUUCUCGAUUAGCAAACCUUGAUAAAGUUUGCAUUCUUGGUUGUAGCAUUUCAUCAGGUGUUGGUGCUGUUUUGAAUGUAGCAAAACCAGCAAAGGGAUCAUUGGUUGCUGUUUUCGGCCUUGGAGCUAUAGGACUUGCGGCGGCCAAAGGGGCGAGGAUCUCAAGGGGCUUCGAGAAUUAUUGGUGUUGAUGUGAACCUGAGAAAAUUCAAUCAAGAUUAUUUUUAUGAUAAAGGUGCCGAGAGAAGAUUGCAUGCAAUAUCAAAUUCUGAAGAAUUAUUGAUGUUUUUGUUGAGAAGGGGGUCACAACUACAGUUACUUGCAUUAUAAAAAAAGACAUUUCAAAGGUCCUUGGCCAACAUGGAGAAAAAUUCCUAGUGAUGUGGAGGAACUGAUGUGGAAGACAUUUCAGGAGUAUUGUAAAUGGAACCUUGAACAUAACUCCAAAAUCAAAAAUGUAUUUGACAAGACUGGCAAAACACGAUUAAGGGACAUGCUAGCGGAUGAGAGGAUGAAGGCAAUGAAAGAAGUUGGUGCUACUAACAUUAGAGAAUGCAAGGGAAUGGAAAGGGAGUGGAUCACAAAGGAUGUGUGGGAUGCCCUCAUUGAUAAUGAAUGGGGAAUAGAUGCAUGGCAAUCCAAAUCAGGUAAAGCAAAGGCAAACCGCUUAACAGAGAAAGAAGAAAGUAUUACAAAGCACACGGGUUGCUCACGACCUUUUGCUGUUCAUGGUAUCAAGUUGCUGAGAAGCUAGGUAGGGAGGUUGGAUAUUCAGAAAUUUUUCAAGGUACACACAAGCGCAAGGGUGGAGAGGGUGAUUUUAUAGACACAAGCCAAGAGUUGUCAAUGAAAAGUAUAAUGCUGCAUUGAUCGACAAAUAUGGUGAUGAUAUCUCUUCCCAUCCAAGUUUUGAUGGCCAGUCAUGGUAUGAUGAAAUUGGGGGAUUAAAGGGUACACGCACAAGUGUAUAUGGUUUUAGGAGUAGGGUAGACUCAAGACAAUUGUUUAGUGCGGCAUCUACAUGUCCUUCCACAUCUGAUUCAGCGUGUGGACCUUCAACCUAUCAACCUUUUGCAACAAAUGAAUCUAUGUUGCAAACCCAGCAACUUGAGGAGAAAGUUUAGAAUUUAGAAAGUACAGUUCUUGAUAUUCAACAAGGUCAAGCAGGGUUACAAAGUAAAUUAGACAAAAUCUUGGAAUUGGUAGAACGCGGUCAUUCAACAUUAUUCUCUUAAGCAAGCCAAUCGGGAAUUAAUUCAAGGGAUGCCACUACUCGAGAUGGUGGAGAAGAUGCAUAAGUAGAUUCAGAUGACCUUUAGAAUGUUGUUGUUAACAUUUGUUUUGUUAGAGUAUCUUUAAAACUA